GAUGAACGCUGGCGGCGUGCCUAAUACAUGCAAGUCGAGCGAACAGAUAAGGAGCUUGCUCCUUUGACGUUAGCGGCGGACGGGUGAGUAACACGUGGGUAACCUACCUAUAAGACUGGAAUAACUCCGGGAAACCGGGGCUAAUGCCGGAUAACAUUUAGAACCGCAUGGUUCUAAAGUGAAAGAUGGUUUUGCUAUCACUUAUAGAUGGACCCGCGCCGUAUUAGCUAGUUGGUAAGGUAACGGCUUACCAAGGCAACGAUACGUAGCCGACCUGAGAGGGUGAUCGGCCACACUGGAACUGAGACACGGUCCAGACUCCUACGGGAGGCAGCAGUAGGGAAUCUUCCGCAAUGGGCGAAAGCCUGACGGAGCAACGCCGCGUGAGUUAUGAAGGUCUUCGGAGCGUAAAACUCUGUUAUUAGGGAAGAACAAAUGUGUAAGUAACUGUGCACGUCUUGACGGUACCUAAUCAGAAAGCCACGGCUAACUACGUG
rnacentral:rRNA from 1 species